AACGAACGCUGGCGGCGUGCCUCAUACAUGCAAGUCGUACGCGAAUCCUGCCGCAAGGCAGGGUUUGAGUGGCAAACGGGUGCGUAACACGUAGGUAAUCUUCCUUUGAGUUGGGGAUAAACCCUCGAAAGGGGGUCUAAUACCGAAUAACACUUCUGGUUGGCAUCAACCGGAAAUUAAAGAUGGCCUCUGCUUGCAAGCUAUCGCUCGGAGAUGAGCCUGCGGCCGAUAGUUAGUUGGCGGGAUAAAAGCCCACCAAGACUUCGAUCGGUAGCCGGUCUGAGAGGAUGUCCGGCCACACUGGGACUGAGAUACGGGCCCAGACUCCUACGGGAGGCAGCAGUAGGGAAUAUUGCGCAAUGGCCGCAAGGCUGACGCAGCAACGCCGCGUGGGGGAUGGAAGGUUUUCGGAUCGUAAACCCCUGUCGAGAGGGAAGAAAGG
rnacentral:rRNA from 1 species